rnacentral:rRNA from 1 species
UACGUAGGUCCCGAACGUUGCGCGGAAUUACUGGGCGUAAAGGGUCCGUAGGCGGUUUCGUAAGUGGGUGGUGAAAUUUCACGGCUCAACCGUGAAGCGGCAUUGGAAACUGCUAAACUUGAGUGAGGGAGAGGAAGGCGGAAGUCCCGGUGUAGCGGUGAAAUGCGUAGAUAUCGGGAGGAACACCAGUGGCGAAGGCGGCCGACUGGAACUGUACUGACGCUGAGGGACGAAAGCUAGGGGAGCAAACAGG